CAGUAGCCACGGUAAUACAGAGGGUGCAAGCGUUAAUCGGAUUUACUGGGCGUAAAGCGUGCGUAGGCGGCUUCUUAAGUCGGAUGUGAAAUCCCUGAGCUUAACUUAGGAAUUGCAUUCGAUACUGGGAAGCUAGAGUAUGGGAGAGGAUGGUAGAAUUCCAGGUGUAGCGGUGAAAUGCGUAGAGAUCUGGAGGAAUACCGAUGGCGAAGGCAGCCAUCUGGCCUAAUACUGACGCUGAGGUACGAAAGCAUGGGGAGCAAACAGGAUUAGAUACCCCGGUAGUCCCUGUCUCUUAUAC
rnacentral:rRNA from 1 species